rnacentral:tRNA from 1 species
GGUUGUGGCUUAGUGGUAGAGCACUUGCCUAGCAUGUGUGAGGCACUGGGUUCAAUUCUCAGCACCA